GUCUCCCCUUCUGAACGUCUAAGUGAAGAAGAUGGAUGGUUUGAUCGAUGGUUUGAUAUCGGUAGAGAGCCUGUGUGAAGAUGGCCAUGACAUCAUCUUGCAUCAUCACGAUCCGCUUCCGACAUUCUUCUGGCCCCCACCCCACCAGCUGCAGGUCGCCAUAGGGACCGCGAUAAACAAUGACGCAUCAUCGUGCUUCAGUUGCCCACUCCCUAACCGACUUUCCAGCGGUUAAGGAGUACGGACAGCAGGCUCCUGUCACUGGAGAGAUUGCCUGGUCUGCUCUCACCAGAGAGAUCAUCUUCUUGUCGUUGUUGUUGUUUUAGUUGUCCAGUGGACUUCUUUAGACGUUGACAGUCAUCAUGGCAGAUGAGUCGACUGAAAAGAGGCCGUCUGCUGGCUCUGCCUGUACGAGCGCGAGCUCGGCUGGGGAAGGAGGCGGUUCGCCCAGCAGCUUCCUUGAGACACCGACGGCGACCAUUGGUUCCACCUCCAUGUGGUCCUCUGUCUCUGACCUCUCCCUUCAGUCCAUCGAAGGGAGGGACAGCAGGGACCACAGCCACCCAGCAGAGGGAGAUCUGCGGAAGCUGCAGCGGGAGCACCAGUGGCCUGGCUCGCUGGCGGCAUCCCCCUACCAUCUCCCCGGACCCUUCUUUGGGCAGCUGGCCCCCAGCCAUCCCACUGCGGGUCCCAUGGCCCAAUUGUUUGGCCAUCCAUCCAUUGGCCAGCUGCGACCUCCAGAGCCGGAAGAGUUCCCACCACUCUUGCAUAGGGUGAGGGAGGCUCCUGGCUACAGACAUGCCACGCUUGCCCCCAUCCCUCCUGCUGAAACAACAUCUAUGGCCCAGCUUGCCCCCAUCUCUCCUGCUGCAAGAACAUCUCUGGCCCAGCCGGCCAGGGCGGACCCGGCGCGCAAGAGGAAUCUGGUCCUGCUGGCCCACCGGCUGCAAUCAGAAGGCAGCAGCACCACCGCUGCCGCUGGGGGGUUCUGCCCAGCCCCACCGGAUCAGCCCAGGAGCGGCAAGCCAACAGACAUUCGCCGUGCAUCCAGAGUCUUGAUUCCUGCCACUGAGCAGACACUGGCCAUCCAAAUCAAGGAGCAUGCAACUCAUAAAGCAGAAGGCUUCAGCACCAGUGCUGCCCCAAGAAUGAAGAUCCCAGAGUUGGGACCACACAGAGCAGGGACCCAGGAGCGCCACCCACCAUCUCCUCCCCAGCUGCAGGGCCGAGGAAUGGCCAAGAGAGGAACAGCCCCGCCCACUGGGGAGAUUCAGCUGCGCCCUAAGUGCCCUCCAAAUCGGAAGAAGCUUCUUGUUCCCAAGCAGCAGUUGCUUCCGGAAUUCCUCUUCCCGCCUCCUCCACCAGAGCCAACCAAAGUGCUCGCCAAGGGAAUGGCUUCCCACCUGGUAGCCCCAGGAGACAAGGGCACCCAAUGUACCAAGCCAAGGGUGCAGCUCUUUGACUUUUUGCCGCCCAUCUCCUUGGCGCCCAAAAAUGCCAAGGACCGCUCAUAUGGGGAGUUGGUGGGCAGGAAACUCCCUGCAGAGAACAAUGGAAAGAGGGCAAGGGCAGCAGGGGCAGAGAGCGUGCCAGCACCCAAGGUGCCACGGGGAAGCCCAAAGGCUGAGGGGGAGGCGAGAUCAGGAGAGACGGCCAAAGCACCCCUGGACCAGAAGGAAGGGAGAACCGCACAGAAGAUCCCCACUUGCCAUCUGGAGCUGGCCGUCCAACCCCAUCAGCCCACCAAACCAACAGGAAUCAUGCCAGGCCAGAAGCUGCUGAAAAUGCCUCAGGUCCUGCCAGGAAGGGGGAAAGCAUGGCUGCUACCACCUGAAGCCGAAGCUGGGGACACCAAGAGGCAGAAAGUGGGGGCAGAGUCCAGUGGAUCCGCCCAGGCUGUGCCCCCGACUCCGAGGAGCAGCCUGGCCAGAAUGAUGCGGGACUCCGUGCAGGUGUUCCAUGCCCUGGGCCCCCCGGCAAAAUCCAAGAGUGCAGAGGGACAUCCUGGGCAGAGCGUGCCCAAAAAAACACCAGCGAUGUCCAUGGGAAGGCCACCAUCGGGAAGCACAGCUGAGCCACCACCAAGGCCUUUGGCAGCCCUGCCAAGCAGACCAGCAGGGAAGGCACCGCCCAGCUCCAUGGCCAGGCCAGCAGCCAUGCCGAUGGCCAACCUCCCCCCUAGCUCCCUGGCCCACCCACAAUCAAUGCCAGUGUGGAGGCCGCCGGGAUCCCGUCCCUUCAUGCUCAGGCCCUCCUCCCUUGCGCAGGCAAAUACCUUGCGGAUGCACAGUCUUGCUGGGAGGACCUUUGGCCAGCCCCCGCCGGCCCCUCAACCACAGCCACAGCCUUGGGGUCCCACACCAACCCACCGACCCGUCCUCCCUGCCCACCAAGCCUCCACGGAGUAUCCGGUCCUUCCACCUGGUCCCCAGAGCACGACAGCAGAGCAGGAGUUUAAGGGGGACACGUUCAUCCCUUGGAGGAUGCCCCCGGCCCACCUGGAAGUCUCCCAGCCCAUUACGGAGGAGCAACGGCCCGUCCAGGAGCUGAUGCGGCGGCGGGCUCAAAGAGCGAGGGAGGAGGCGGCUCAGUGGACAUCAGCCGGCCGGAGGCAGUAUUUCGUGGAGCGGGAGGAGGAAAUGAACAUCUCCCUUCAGUAUGGCUACCCCUGGCGCCACUGAGAGGUCCUUUUGCGAAGAGCCAGACAAGCUGCCCCCAAGAAAGAGAAGCAAGCUACACAGAAUGCCCCUCCCCUUUGCCUCCUGCGGAGGGGAGGGAGUUUGUCCCAGCCACGCUCCGCAGGAGGCCCCAAAGGCACCUGAUUGGCCCGUUUAGGGGGCGGGGCUUUGGCCCUUGCUGGAUUCCCCCCCCCCAGCUCUUCAGUUCGGGCUGAGCAUCCGUGGAGAAAGGAGCUCUUCCAUAGAACUUUUUCUUGGCCUGAACUGGAGAGGGCGGGGGGCGGGGUGUGCCCGAGGAUCGGAAGAGUGGUGUAUUUUGGUGGGUAGCAUCGACCUGCCGAGCGGCGGCUUCCCCGGACAUCGGCGGUCAUUUUAGCGGCCUGAGGGGGCAUCGGCCUGCGGCUGGAGUGCGGCGGCAUCAGCCCUGGGGCAGCAUCUUCGGGGCUUGGGGCCCUUGGUUUGUCCGGGUUGGGCCUUCCUGGCCUGGGGCGUAUUGGGCAGCCUAACUGGGCGGGACUGGUGGUUGCUCUGAUUGGUGGCACUUAUUUGGGGCCCCGCAGCUCCCUGUGGUUGGGUGGGGGUGUUGGUUGGCCUUGGGGUUACUGGCAUUUUUCGUGUCCCUCUUCUCUUCCGUUGGCUUCUUUGGGGGGUCGGAGUGGGGGUCUCUCAGGAGGGCAGUGAGUGGCUCUCUGGGCGUGUUCUUUUGCCCAUGUUCUUUUGCCCGUGGGGUUUUCGGGGUUGUUUUUGGUGGCAUUGGGGGUUGGUUAUUCGGGGCCCCUGCAAUUCGCCCACAUGCCUAGGAAAGCCAAGGAGAAAACCGGUGGUCAGCCUAUCAAGGGGCCAAGCGGCCUGCACCUCCACCUUCUUCCUCUGAUGAGGAUGAUGAGGAGAUGGUUCUAAUUAGUGGCCUGAUCAACAGAAUGGAAGCUCUGGAGAAGUCCAAGGCUUCCAUUCUGUUGGAAGCAAGGGGGCUGGCCCGUCUGGAGCGCCAAAGAAAGUUCCUCGACACACGCGUGGUGCUGCUAGAACACAGUUAUGAAAAUCUCUCUCUGACAGGUUAGGAGCUCUUGAAAAGGGCGAGGGCCCGCCCGGCCCAGUGCUGCCUGCAGAGCCGGCUGAUCCUGUGUUGCCAGUGCCUGGCGUUCCUGUUCCUGCGAUGCUUUCUCCUGCGGUUCCGGAAUCCCCGCUGCCAUUGGAUCAACCCCCUGUGGAUCCAUCUUUGCCUCCAUCCCCGGGUGCUGGCGGAUCGGCGGCUCCUGUUCAGGUCCUGGUUUGCGGCCAUUCGUCGGUCUUUGGGGCCUUCAAGAGGGCCAGCUCAUAACAUUGAGUGCCAUUGGGGCACCCAGUUGGGUUUUGGAAAGCGUGCUUCAGUUUCUUGGUUGGGUAGGAGGGGCAUGUUAUGGAGCCAGAUGCUCCCUGCCAUUUGGGAUGAUUGAGCUAGGUUCCCUGGGCCUGAUGGCAUUGUGGUUCACUUGGGGGCAAACGAUUUGGGCAGGCGGGCUGGUCUGUCUCUUAUUAUUAUUUCCCUGCCCCAGCUCUUCCGUUUGGGCCGAGCAUCCCCCUCCCUCCCUUCCCUGGAGCAGAGCGGGUCUAGUGACUGGUCGCCCUUCUGGGGCCGAGUAGGAAUUUUUGGCUCUCAACGCAUUGGCCACUGUUGGGGGUUUUUUCGCCUACUCCGUUCUGCGUUGGGGGUUUGAGUUAGAAUUAGGCUGGUCACACUGUUAUUAUGGGUUAUUAUGGGUUAUUGGUGAAUAAAGUUGUGGCC